CAUUCAAAGAGUGCGUAACAGCUCACUGGUCGAGUGGACAUGCGCCGACAAUACACGGGGCUAAGCUGGACACCGAAGCGGCGGGAUUUUGAUUUACAGAAUCGGUAGGGGAGCUUCCCAUGGGCGGAGAAGCCGGAGGGCGACCGACGGUGGAGCGCAUGGGAGUGAGAAUGCUGGCAUGAGUAGCGAGAGACGAGAGAGUAACUCGUCCGCCGUGAACCCGAGGUUUCCUGGGCAAGGCUAAUCCUCCCAGGGUCAGUCGGGGGCUAAGGCGAGGCCGGUAGGCGUAGCCGACGCGCAGCAGGCAGACAUUCCUGCACCGCGCACGCGGCGCUACGACCGACGGGGCGACGGAUGGGGGUGGCUCGGCGGGGUUCUGGACGUCCCCGUGAUGGAGCGCGGCCCGCGGACCAGGGAAAUCCGGUCCGCACGAGGGCGAGGCUCCGGACGAAGCGACUGAGCGAAGCGAGUGAGCCCGAGGUCCCUAGAAAAACCCCUAGGCAGGCGCGUGCGCGCCCGUACCGCAAACCGACACAGGUGGGUGGGUAGAACAUACCGAGGCGAUCGGGUCAACCAUGGUCAAGGAACUCGGCACAAUGGCCCCGUAACUUCGGGAGAAGGGGUGCCCGCGCGUACGUGAACGGACUUGCUCCGGGAGCGGAGGCGGGCCGCAGUGGAGAGGCCCAAGCGACUGUUUACCAAAAACACAGGACUCUGCAGAAGCCGCAAGGCGACGUAUAGGGUCUGACGCCUGCCCGGUGCCGGAAGGUCACGCGGAGGAGUUAGCCAUUUCGGCGAAGCCCCGAAGCCAAGCCCCGGUAAACGGCGGCCGUAACUAUAACGGUCCUAAGGUAGCGAAAUUCCUUGUCGGGUAAGUUCCGACCUGCACGAAAGGCGCAACGACUUGGGCGCUGUCUCGACCAUGGACCCGGUGAAAUUGCACUGGUCGUGAAGAUGCGACUUACCCGCGGAAGGACGGAAAGACCCCGUGAACCUUCACUGCAGCUUGGCAUUGGCCGCUGGUCCCGCGUGUAGAGGAUAGGCAGGAGGCAUCGAUCCGGAGGCGCCAGCCCCCGGGGAGCCGCCCUUGGAAUACUGCCCUCGCGCGACCGGCGUCCUAACCCGAGGCCGUCAACCGGCUCGGGGACCGUGCCAGGCGGGCAGUUUGACUGGGGCGGUCGCCUCCUAAAGGGUAACGGAGGCGCGCGAAGGUCCGCUCGGGACGGUCGGCAACCGUCCUUUUGAAUGCAAGAGUACAAGCGGGCUUGACUGCGAGGCCCACAAGCCGAGCAGGUGCGAAAGCAGGCUCUAGUGAUCCGGCGGCCCCGAGUGGGUGGGCCGUCGCUCAACGGAUAAAAGGUACUCCGGGGAUAACAGGCUGAUCUUGCCCAAGAGUCCACAUCGACGGCAAGGUUUGGCACCUCGAUGUCGGCUCAUCGCAUCCUGGGGCUGAAGUCGGUCCCAAGGGUUGGGCUGUUCGCCCAUUAAAGCGGUACGCGAGCUGGGUUCAGA
rnacentral:rRNA from 1 species